UACAGAGGAUGCAAGCGUUAUCCGGAAUGAUUGGGCGUAAAGCGUCUGUAGGUGGCUUUUUAAGUCCGCCGUCAAAUCCCAGGGCUCAACUCUGGACAGGCGGUGGAAACUACCAAGCUGGAGUACGGUAGGGGCAGAGGGAAUUUCCGGUGGAGCGGUGAAAUGCGUAGAGAUCGGAAGGAACAUCAGUGGCGAAAGCGACUUCCUGGACCAGAACUGACGUCAGGCACGAAAGCGUGGGGAGCAAACAGG
rnacentral:rRNA from 1 species